rnacentral:pre_miRNA from 1 species
UAUUAAAAGUUAAAUUUAAUUUUGUUAAAAAUUAUCGUGGUUGAUGGAAUAACCAGGCAGUGACAUGUGACGUACUAUAUGUGCCUCAUAUUGAGGUAUAAAGAUCAAUUUUUAAUAGUAGAAUUAGAUGAAAUUUUUAAAA